rnacentral:rRNA from 1 species
UGGGGAAUAUUGCACAAUGGGCGCAAGCCUGAUGCAGCCAUGCCGCGUGUGUGAAGAAGGCCUUCGGGUUGUAAAGCACUUUCAGCGGGGAGGAAGGCGGUGAGGUUAAUAACCUCAUCGAUUGACGUUACCCGCAGAAGAAGCACCUGCUAACUCCGUGCCAGCAGCCGCGGUAAUACGGAGGGUGCAAGCGUUAAUCGGAAUUACUGGGCGUAAAGCGCACGCAGGCGGUCUGUCAAGUCGGAUGUGAAAUCCCCGGGCUCAACCUGGGAACUGCAUUCGAAAAUGGCAGGCUAGAGUCUUGUAGAGGGGGGUAGAAUUCCAGGUGUAGCGGUGAAAUGCGUAGAGAUCUGGAGGAAUACCGGUGGCGAAGGCGGCCCCCUGGACAAAGACUGACGCACAGGUGCGAAAGCGUGGGGAGCAAACAGG